CCUACGGGAGGCAGCAGUGAGGAAUAUUGGUCAAUGGUCGGGAGACUGAACCAGCCAAGCCGCGUGAGGGAUGAAGGUACAGAGUAUCGUAAACCUCUUUUGUCAGGGAACAAAGGCGGGGACGUUUCACCGGAUGAGUGUACCUGAAGAAAAAGCAUCGGCUAACUCCGUGCCAGCAGCCGCGGUAAUACGGGGGAUGCGAGCGUUAUCCUGAUUUAUUGGGUUUAAAUGGAGCGCAGGCGUUCUUUUAAGUCAGCGGUGAAAGCCCGGGGCUCAACCCCGGCCCGCCGUUGAAACUGGCAGUCGCGAGUUGGAGAGAAGUAGGCGGAAUGCGCGGUGUAGCGGUGAAAUGCAUAGAUAUCGCGCAGAACUCCGAUUGCGAAGGCAGCAUGCCGGCUCCACACUGACGCUGAGGCACGAAAGCGUGGGUAUCGAACAGGAUUAGAUACCCGUGUAGUC
rnacentral:rRNA from 1 species